UGGAAUUGUAGAAUUCUGUGAAUCAUCGAAUCUUUGAACGCACCUUGCGCCCCUUGGUAUUCCGAGGGGCACACCUGUUUGAGUGUCGUG
rnacentral:rRNA from 1 species